UCGGUCUGGGAUGGACUCGCGGCCUAUCAGCUUGUUGGUGAGGUAACGGCUCACCAAGGCGACGACGGGUAGCCGGCCUGAGAGGGCGACCGGCCACACUGGGACUGAGACACGGCCCAG
rnacentral:rRNA from 1 species